AGCUGGUUGUACCACUGUCCUUAAUGUUGUGAAAAAAGUCCAACACAACAAGACGAGGACAGAUGAUGUCAUGACCACCACCUCGCCACCAAACCCUGAUGCUCAGACAGUGAGUGUCGGUGCCGUUGUUGGUGGAGUUCUCGGUGCUGUUAUU